AUGGCGACUGCCGGCGUGGAAGAUCUGUUCGAGGGUCUGGCUGUGUCAGGGACAAUGCCGGUGCGUUGCGGUCGGAAGAACAAGAAGGGGUCUUCUUCCAGUGCGCGUUCGCAGGAGGUGGAGGUGGCGGAGGUGCCGAUGCCGUCGCGUCGUGGUGGAGAGAAGGGAUUUCCCAAGGCAGCACCGCCGCGUCGUGGUGGCGACAAGGGAUCGUCGCGUCGUGGUAAAGAGAAGCGAUUUCCCAAGGGCGGUUCGCAGGAGGAUGCAGUGAUCAAGACCGGGCGUCUCGAUCGGAAAAAGGGGUUCAGGAAGGCCGGUUCGGAGGAGGAGGAGAAGAAGAAGAGGAUGCCUGAAGAGAUGGUGAACGACAUCCUGUCCUGGGAAAAGCCUCCCCGCUUCACAAUGUUCAAGUCCGCCGGCUUCUUCAACAAGUUGAGGGAUGAACUCUUCGAGUAUCAGCAGGAGAUCAAGGAGGAGGUGGAGGAGAAGGGCUACGCUGAGCUCCCCGACGACUUCAAGGAAUAUACCAAGGAAGCUGACAUUAAGGCUUACAGAAAGGCAUACCUUAAGGUGUUUGGCACUGAACCGCCGCCUGAGCUCUGCUCUCUCUGA
rnacentral:rRNA from 1 species